ACACGUACUACAAUGGCAGGUACAAAGGGCAGCCACUUAGCGAUAAGGGCGCGAAUCCCGUAAAACCUGUCUCAGUCCGGAUUGGAGUCUGCAACUCGACUCCAUGAAGUUGGAAUCGCUAGUAAUCGCAGAUCAGCACGCUGCGGUGAAUACGUUCCCGGGCCUU
rnacentral:rRNA from 1 species